GAUCCUCGCUCAGGAUGAACGCUGGCGGCGUGCUUAACACAUGCAAGUCGAACGAAGCGAUGGAGAACGGAGAUUUCGGUUGAAGUUUUCUAUUGACUGAGUGGCGGACGGGUGAGUAACGCGUGGGUAACCUGCCCUAUACAGGGGGAUAACAGUUAGAAAUGACUGCUAAUACCGCAUAAGCGCACAGCUUCGCAUGAAGUGGUGUGAAGAACUGAGGUGGUAUAGGAUGGACCCGCG
rnacentral:rRNA from 1 species